CCACGGUCGCUCGACGUGCUCAAUCUGCCCUGGACUUAGCGAUCACCUGACCAAGUGGUAAUGCCGCAUAAGACACACUGCCGGGUGUGGUGGAAAGUCCGGCGGUACAGGUUGAGCCCGCGGCCUAUCAGCUUGUUGGUGGGGUGAUGGCCUACCAGGCGACGACGGGUAGCCGGCCUGAGAGGGUGACCGGCCACACUGGGACUGAGACACGGCCCAGACUCCUACGGGAGGCAGCAGUGGGGAAUAUUGCACAAUGGGCGCAAGCCUGAUGCAGCGACGCCGCGUGGGGGAUGACGGCCUUCGGGUUGUAAACCCCUUUCGCCAGGGACGAAGGACGGUACCUGGAGAAGAAGCACCGGCC
rnacentral:rRNA from 1 species